rnacentral:rRNA from 1 species
UACGGGGGGUGCGAGCGUUGUCCGGAUUCACUGGGCGUAAAGGGCGCGUAGGCGGCUGGCUCAGUCGGGCCUGUAAGUGCGGGGCUCAACCCCGUGAUGGGUCCGGGACGGGCUGGCUGGGGCGCGGUCGAGGGAGACGGAAUGCCGGGUGUAGUGGUGAAAUGCGUAGAGAUCCGGCGGAACACCGGUGGUGAAGACGGUCUCCUGGGCCGAGGGCCGACGCUGAGGCGCGAGAGCGUGGGGAGCGAACCGG